UACCUGAUUCAGCGGCGGACGGGUGAGUAAUGCCUAGGAAUCUGCCCGAUAGUGGGGGACAACGUUUCGAAAGGAACGCUAAUACCGCAUACGUCCUACGGGAGAAAGUGGGGGAUCUUCGGACCUCACGCUAUCGGAUGAGCCUAGGUCGGAUUAGCUAGUUGGUGAGGUAAUGGCUCACCAAGGCGACGAUCCGUAACUGGUCUGAGAGGAUGAUCAGUCACACUGGAACUGAGACACGGUCCAGACUCCUACGGGAGGCAGCAGUGGGGAAUAUUGGACAAUGGGCGAAAGCCUGAUCCAGCCAUGCCGCGUGUGUGAAGAAGGUCUUCGGAUUGUAAAGCACUUUAAGUUGGGAGGAAGGGCAGUAAGCUAAUACCUUGCUGUUUUGACGUUACCAACAGAAUAAGCACCGGCUAACUCUGUGCCAGCAGCCGCGGUAAUACAGAGGGUGCAAGCGUUAAUCGGAAUUACUGGGCGUAAAGCGCGCGUAGGUGGUUCAGCAAGUUGGAUGUGAAAUCCCCGGGCUCAACCUGGGAACUGCAUCCAAAACUACUGAGCUAGAGUACGGUAGAGGGUGGUGGAAUUCCCUGUGUAGCG
rnacentral:rRNA from 1 species